rnacentral:rRNA from 1 species
UCUGAGAGGAAGGUCCCCCACAUUGGAACUGAGACACGGUCCAAACUCCUACGGGAGGCAGCAGUGAGGAAUAUUGGUCAAUGGGCGAGAGCCUGAACCAGCCAAGUAGCGUGCAGGAUGACGGCCCUAUGGGUUGUAAACUGCUUUUAUAAGGGAAUAAAGUGGGUCUCGUGAGACUUUUUGCAUGUACCUUAUGAAUAAGGACCGGCUAAUUCCGUGCCAGCAGCCGCGGUAAUACGGAAGGUCCGGGCGUUAUCCGGAUUUAUUGGGUUUAAAGGGAGCGUAGGCCGGAGAUUAAGCGUGUUGUGAAAUGUAGACGCUCAACGUCUGCACUGCAGCGCGAACUGGUUUCCUUGAGUACGCACAAAGUGGGCGGAAUUCGUGGUGUAGCGGUGAAAUGCUUAGAUAUCACGAAGAACUCCGAUUGCGAAGGCAGCUCACUGGAGCGCAACUGACGCUGAAGCUCGAAAGUGCGGGUAUCGAACAGGAUUAGAUACCCUGGUAGUCCGCACGGUAAACGAUGGAUGCCCGCUGUUGGUCUGAAUAGGUCAGCGGCCAAGCGAAAGCAUUAAGCAUCCCACCUGGGGAGUACGCCGGCAACGGUGCAACUCAAAUGAAUUGACGG